rnacentral:lncRNA from 1 species
AGCCGCCUGUCUGGAGACUCUGGUGCCGCCCUUCCCCCCACCCAGUGAUAGUUGGGCUGGGGAUAGAACUCCAGCUGGAGCUCUGCACCCCAGAACUUUGCUGGACGCCCUCCCUUUAAAGCCGAUGCUUUGCUGGUGCUUACAGGGCUGGUGUGGGGGCUGCACCGCUGCUGGGGCGUCGAUUCUGUGCGGGCCACCUGGGCUUUGUCUUUCUGGCAGCCCGUAGGACCCGCUGUAUCUCCGGCUUCUGAUAAUCCACCGAGCUGUUCUCCAGCUCCGGGAAAGCCUGUGGUUUCCUGACCUCCCCUGUCUCUGUUCUCUCUGGAACCCCAGGUAGCCAGGUGUCUCGCUUCCUGGAGGGACCCCUCACUUCCUCGUCUCUCCCCUCCUUCGUCACCUCUGUGUAUCUUCCUGUCGCUGUUUCGGGGAGGUCUCCCUGUGUCACCAUUCCACCCUUCUCAUAGAGUGGUACAUAAAUUUUUAAUUUCAGAGAUUCCUUUUUAUUUGCUGAAUGUUCUCUUUAAAACAUGCUGUACCCUGUUCUUGUUUCAGGGAUACUAUAUUUUAUUUCUGCGAAGAUAGUAAUAGCUCUCUCUCUUUUUUUCUGUUCAGGCUUCCUUCUGUCUGCACUGCCUGUUUCCUUGUUGGCUGGCUUGUUUGGGACUCUGUCUUUCCUGUUAGAGCUCUCCUCAGUUAAUUCACUCGGCAGAAAUUUAUGGAGUGCCUGCGGUGUGCCAGCCCUGUUCUGCAGCCUUGAACAAAAUGGUCGGAAGUCCCUGAGCUGGUCUGGCGAUGUCUGGGGAUGGUCAGAUGGUGGCUCCUUUUUAGAAGUGGGCACCAGAGGCUGAUUGGCAUCCCCGCGUGUGGGUGGCCCCGCAGCCGCGCUUCCCAGUGGCAGGCCCGCCCCGGCCGCCUGGAAUCAGCAUCUGCACUUUCACCUGCCCCUUCUGUUCUGUGGGGCCCCUCCCUCCACCUGGCCUGCUGUUUCCAGCCUUCCCUGGGCGGAGCCAAGGAUGGAAGCUCCUGGGGUUUACCUGCUACUUACCUGGGGCCACCAGCUCCUGAGCCAGGAAAUAGUGUGAAGAGGGCCACCCUGCCUCGUGGAGGCCCGGACACCUCAUCUACGGAGCGGGUGGCGGAGGCCAAGAGAGGAAGACGCUUGCGCCACGACGCUGGGGAUCCCAUGGCCAUGUCCUGGCUGCCUUGA